UUCUGGUUGAUCCUGCCGGAGGCUACCGCUAUUGGAGUUCGAUUAAGCCAUGCGAGUCGAGAGUCUUAGGGACUCGGCGUACCGCUCAGUAACACGUGGGUAACCUGCCCUAUGCUGGGGAAUAACCUCGGGAAACUGAGAAUAAUGCCCCAUAGUCCACAAUGCCUGGAACGGUUUGUGGAUUAAAGCCCCGGCGGCAUAGGAUGGGCCUGCGGCGUAUCAGGUUGUAGGGGGUGUAACGUACCCUCUAGCCAUCAACGCGUACGGGUGUUGGGAGACAUAGCCCGGAGAUGGAUUCUGAGACACGAAUCCAGACCCUACGGGGUGCAGCAGGCGCGAAAACUUGGCAAUGCGAGAAAUCGUGACCAGGGAACUCCAAGUGGCUGGGGUAAGACCCAGUCUUUUCUUGACUCUUCAAAGGUCUUGGAAUAAGAGGUGGGUAAGGACGGUGCCAGCCGCCGCGGUAAUACCGGCGCCUCAAGUGGUAGUCGAUUUUAUUGGGCCUAAAACGUCCGUAGCCUGUUUGGUACAUUCGUGGGUAAAUCAACCAGCUCAACUGGUUGAAUUCUGCGAGCACGGCCAGACUUGGGACCGGGAGAGGUGUGGGGUACGCUCAGGGUAGGGGUAAAAUCCUGUCAUCCUGAGCGGACCACCUGUUGCGAAGGCGCCACACUAGAACGGAUCCGACGGUCAGGGACGAAGCCUAGGG
rnacentral:rRNA from 1 species